CGCGGGAUUAGAGUUUGAUCCUGGCUCAGGAUGAACGCUAGCGGGAGGCCUAACACAUGCAAGCCGAGCGGUAUGAGUAGCUUGCUACUCAGAGAGCCGGCGUACGAGUGUGCGUAACACGUGUGCAACCUACCUUUAUCAAGGGAAUAGCCUUUCGAAAGGAAGAUUAAUACUCCAUAAUAUAUUAGAUGGCAUCAUUUAAUAUUGAAAACUCCGGUGGAUAGAGAUGGGCACGCGCAAGAUUAGAUAGUUGGUGAGGUAACGGCUCACCAAGUCAAUGAUCUUUAGGGGUCCUGAGAGGGAGAUCCCCCACACUGGUACUGAGACACGGACCAUACUCCUACUGGAGGCAGCAGUGAGGAAUAUUGGACAAUGGGUGAGAGCCUGAUCCAGCCAUCCCGCGUGAAGGAUGACGGUCCUAUGGAUUGUAAACUUCUUUUGUAUAGGAAUAAACCUAAAUACGUGUAUCUAGCUGAAGGUACUAUACUAAUAAGCACCGGCUAACUCCGUGCCAGCAGCCGCGGUAAUACUGAGGGUGCAAGCGGUAUCCCGAUUUAUUGGGUUUAAAGGGUCCGUAUGCGGACCGAUAAGUCAGUGGUGAAAUCUCAUAGCUUAACUAUGAAACUGCCAUUGAUACUGUCGGUCUUGAGUAAAUUAGAGGUAGCUGGAAUCAAGUAGUGUAGCGGCGAAAUGCAUAGAUAUUACUUAGAACACCAAUUGCGAAGGCAGGGUACCAUGAUUUAACUGA
rnacentral:rRNA from 1 species